AACAGUAGAAGUCUGCGAAUAAUAAGAAGAGUGCCCUAAGCCAUCCCAAUCAGGGCAAAAUUUGGUCUUUUGUCUUCUAGAAUUUUUUAUAAAACCACUACACUUACAACACAAACAAGAAGCCAAGAACCAUCAUCAUCAUCAUCGAUCGCGGCUUCCCAGCAGCCGAUCGAUGCUGAUUGCGCGUUUACUCUCGCGAGCGCGUAAUCUCCCAGCGUACUGCACGCACAUAUGGAACACAUGCACAUGAUAUUGGGCAAUUUAAAAAUCGAAGGCCGAUCAUUGAUUGAUUACCCUAGCACGUGAGCACAUUUAGCACAAACACAGAAAUCAUGUCUCAUGUAAAACCAUAUUCACAUACCGGAUCAACAUAAUCCAUGCCAGCAUCAAACCAAUUUCCCGAGGGGGAAAUCAAGCCGAGCAGUUUGAGCCACCCUAGCGACGCCCCGGUACUCACUCUCCAAUCUCUUAUCGGCCGACGUCAACCAGAGCCGUGAGAGAUAACACGCGGCGCGAUCGGCCAACCAAUAUAGCCGAUCGUCGCCCGCAGAUCAUCAUCAGUCACUGGUUAAGCACCAAAGAGACCGCCUCGAUCGUCGACCCGUCAAGUGUUCCGCCAGACGAUUGGCCAGCAGAAGUUUAGCUAAUUGUGUCUUCUUGUGGUGAAAACCGUCUCACCAGUGAUAAGGAUAUCGGCGUGGAAAAUUAACCGCACUGGAGUGCGAGGUGCCGCGAUACCGAAAAUUGGUCGCGGUGGAGAGGUAGAGUGACGACCCUCCCUCGUGUGUUUAAUUUGUGCUAAUUGGUGUUUUUUGUACCGUUUUCCGUGUCUAGUGAGGUGGCGUCUACUAUCAGCAUGGAAAGCAUGGCCAUGCUGGAGUAGUUGGAUAAUUUGAGAUCGGCCUUCAUUUCCUGUUUCGCAAGCUAAAUUCCAUCAUGGCUGGAGCCGUGGUGUGGAGCAGUGCGCUGCUGUGCAUUCCUGCCGACUGGACGGCGGGGCAAAUGCACCGGAUGGCCGGCGUUCUCGCCGGUGACCAAGCUGGGUUCUGCCCGGGCAGCAACGUUGUUCCGGAUCGUCGAGGGAUACACGGGGGUCACACACACACACAGGUUUACACCCGCAACUCUAGUUUUAAGGACGCCAACUAGGUUUAGUUCGCCAAUAUAGAUGUAAGUACGCUAAAAUCCCCUCUUUUAUUUCUGUGUAGGUUGAAUUUAUCCUUGUCUUGGGAGGGCUGGUUGAUUAUCUGGGAUUCUGUUGGAAUUCGACCCAUUUUUAGUGUUUGCUGUGUUCUAUUGCAUCUGUGCAGGAAAUGGUACUCCUGCUAUUCAAUAGUACUCCAUCUUGUCUCAUGCUCGCACUUUCCCCGGAAAUGGGGAGGUGAC